UGGGGAAUAUUGGACAAUGGACCAAGAGUCUGAUCCAGCAAUUCUGUGUGCACGAUGACGUUUUUCGGAAUGUAAAGUGCUUUCAGUUGGGAAGAAGAGAAUGACGGUACCAACAGAAGAAGUGACGGCUAAAUACGUGCCAGCAGCCGCGGUAAUACGUAUGUCACAAGCGUUAUCCGGAUUUAUUGGGCGUAAAGCGCGUCUAGGUGGUUAUGUAAGUCUGAUGUGAAAAUGCAGGGCUCAACUCUGUAUUGCGUUGGAAACUGUGUAACUAGAGUACUGGAGAGGUAAGCGGAACUACAAGUGUAGAGGUGAAAUUCGUAGAUAUUUGUAGGAAUGCCGAUGGGGAAGCCAGCUUACUGGACAGAUACUGACGCUGAAGCGCAAAAGCGUGGGUAGCAAACAGGAUUAGAUACCCUGGUAGUCCACGCCGUAAACGAUGAUUACUAGGGUUGGGGGUCGAACCUCAGCGCCCAAGCAAACCGAAUAAGUAUUCCGCCUGGGGAGUACGUACGCAGUAU
rnacentral:rRNA from 1 species